UAAGCUCUGAAGCUGCCGUCUGCGAACAUCGCUGGAGUGAAUCUUUCCAUCGAAAGUCUUUAGCUACCAUGAAGGUCACGAUUUUCCUGUUUGUCUUCGCCUUGGCGAUUGGUGUUGCCUUGGCUGGCGGCUACCAUGGUGGCUACGGUGGUGGUCACAGAGGAUAUGGAGGUGGUCACAAGGGAGGCUAUCACAUGGGCCAUGGUGGAUAUGGCGGAAAGUCUCACGGCUACGGACACAGAUACGGAGGAUACGGUGGUGGCAAGCAUCAUGGAUGAAGAGGCUGCUGCGAGCUCUUGAGGAAUUCGAAAGCCUUGUCAUGUGAUUGUGUGCUAUAUGCUUCAAUAAAGUGUUCUGUUGCAAUACAUGAAA